rnacentral:rRNA from 1 species
UAGGGAAUCUUCGGCAAUGGGGGGAACCCUGACCGAGCAACGCCGCGUGAGUGAAGAAGGUUUUCGGAUCGUAAAGCUCUGUUGUUAAGGAAGAACGAGUGUGAGAAUGGAAAGUUCAUGCUGUGACGGUACUUAACCAGAAAGGGACGGCUAACUACGUGCCAGCAGCCGCGGUAAUACGUAGGUCCCGAGCGUUGUCCGGAUUUAUUGGGCGUAAAGCGAGCGUAGGCGGUUAGAUAAGUCUGAAGUUAAAGGCAGUGGCUCAACCAUUGUAGGCUUUGGAAACUGUUUAACUUGAGUGCAGAAGGGGAGAGUGGAAUUCCAUGUGUAGCGGUGAAAUGCGUAGAUAUAUGGAGGAACACCGGUGGCGAAAGCGGCUCUCUGGUCUGUAACUGACGCUGAGGCUCGAAAGCGUGGGGAGCGAACAGG